UACGUAGGGUGCGAGCGUUGUCCGGAAUUAUUGGGCGUAAAGGGCUCGUAGGCGGUUUGUCGCGUCGGGAGUGAAAACCCAGGGCUUAACCUGGGAACUGCAUUCGAAACUGGCAGGCUAGAGUCUUGUAGAGGGGGGUAGAAUUCCAGGUGUAGCGGUGGAAUGCGCAGAUAUCAGGAAGAACACCCGUGGCGAAGGCGGGUCUCUGGGUAGUAACUGACGCUGAGGUGCGAAAGCGUGGGGAGCAAACAGG
rnacentral:rRNA from 1 species